rnacentral:rRNA from 1 species
AUGAACGCUGGCGGCGUGCCUAAUACAUGCAAGUCGAACGAGUUCUCCCUAAAUCUUUUGAUGCUUGCAUUAAAAGAUUUAGGAUUCGGAACGAGUGGCGAACUGGUGAGUAACACGUGGGUAACCUGCCCUGAAGUGGGGGAUAACAUUUGGAAACAAAUGCUAAUACCGCAUAAUUAGUUGAAACCACAUGGUUUCAACUUGAAAGAUGGCUCUGCUAUCACUUUAGGAUGGACCCGCGGCGUAUUAGCUAGUUGGUGAGAUAAUAGCCCACCAAGGCGAUGAUACGUAGCCGACCUGAGAGGGUAAUCGGCCACAUUGGGACUGAGACACGGCCCAGACUCCUACGGGAGCAGCAGUAGGAUCUUCACAAUGGACGCAAGUCUGAUGGAGCAACGCCGCGUGAGUGAAGAAGGUUUCGACGUCGUAAAA